GACGAACGCUGGCGGCGUGCUUAACACAUGCAAGUCGAACGAAGUGGCGAACGGGUGAGUAACGCGUAAUCAACCUGCCCUUCAGAGGGGGACAACAGUUGGAAACGACUGCUAAUACCGCAUAAUGAAGGAGGGGAUUGCGUCUGAUAAGCUAGUUGGAGGGGUAACGGCCCACCAAGGCGAGGAUCAGUAGCCCGGCUGAGAGGAUGAACGGCCACAUUGGGACUGAGACACGGCCCAGAACCCUUAGGGAGGCAGCAGGGGGGAAUCUUCCGCAAUGGAUGAAAGUCUGACGGAGCAACGACGCGUGAGUGAUGACUGCCUUCGGGUUGUAAAGCUGCGUUAAUCGGGACGCGGUACCGGAAGAGAAAGCCACGGCUAACUACGUGCCAGCAGCCGCGGUAAUUC
rnacentral:rRNA from 1 species